CAUGGCCCUGUAACAUGGGGCUUGAAAGCCUCCCCUUGGGGACUGGAGCCAGGAAGCACAGCCAAGAAUGUUGUGCAGGUCCAUAGCUGUCAUGUCCCCAAGAGAGGCAUCCCUCACCUCCUCUGGUAGUGACCGAAUACAUUGCAUCAAAGGUGGCUGAUGGCCACCUGUGCUAGAGGCAUGAUCAAGGUGAAUGAUGAUGGAGCAGGCUGCUCAGGAAGGCUGUGGAGCCUCCAUCCUCGGAGGGGUUCAAACACCCAACCAGCAGCAUCAGGCAUCCUGGCCUGAGCUGGGGCCUAGACAGGACCAUCUCCAGAGGUCCUAUCCCACCUUAGCCAGUCUGUGAUGUGUGGGAGAGCACCAGUGGAUGCUCUUCACUGUCAGUGCCACCUGCUUGCUUGGCCAUAGCCAGGAGGCUCAUGGCUGGCUGAGACAAGGACAAUAGGAGCCUGUUUCCUCCUCACAUCCAGUGCGAAACCAGUGAUGGGGUCCUUCACUGUUCCCUUUCCCGCACUGCUCCUUGCAGGGCUGUGACUGAGCCCUGCAGAGUGCCUCCUGGGCACAGCAGAAUGCUGUUGGAAACCAUCUGAGCUGCUGCCUCUGGACACUGUGGUGGUGAAGCGGGUUUGCUUCCACUGCACCGUAAAGGAGGCAGAGCUGUAAAUGGAACUUAGGCACCACCAGCCGCUUGGCCGACUUUGGCAUUAGGCCUCAACUACUGGGGACAAGGCAGGGUUAUUUCACAAAACAGGGAUGAAGUAUGUGGUGGGGGGUUGUUUUCCUGGCUGCCUCCUUGCUGGUGCCCCAGGGCUUGUGGCAAAGGGCAUAUGUUUGGUCUUUCCCCUUGUAUCUGUGCCCCAGGCGCGCUCCUCAUCUGCCUGCAAAAGGCUGUGUUCCCAGCCUCGGGAGCAGCUCUGUGCCGGCUGUGAGAUCUCAGCCUGGAUUAAGUGGCAAAGGCAAAUCCUCAGCUUUGAGAAGAGUACACUUGACCUUUGCCUCUGUGGAGUUACAUGCUCCCUCGGGAGGAAGUGUUGGCUCAGCCGCCGAACAAAGCACUGGCUGUCAUGGGCAGGACCUGCCUGCCUCGGGGAAGGAGGGCCUGGGGUGGGGGUCAGAUUUAUGUGCCAGGGGGAGGAAGAGACAGCAGACCCGCUGACCUAGAAACUUAGAGGUGACCGGCUCAAUUUACUGAGAAAUGCAAAGCUACGCUGCCUCCUCUGUCAGUAAAAAUACACCAUCUGGGAUGGCAGGGGCAGAUGGUCCCACUGGCACAUCCAAAUGCAAGAGGGGACUUUGCUUGAUCCAAAUGAAGUUGUGAAUCUCCUUUCCUUACUUUCCAACCUGUUUUCCUUUGUCAUGUCUUGCAGUGCCUCUCACCCUGAAUUGCUGCUAACACCUUUGCAGGUUCUCCAGAUCCCAUGGAAGAUGUAUCCAGUAGCGAACUCGGUCCUGGCACUGACUUCAGACAAUAUGUACGUGCUCAGUGAUGUUAGGUGAAGCUAAACAUGUUUUCCCUAGCAGUGGCAUGUGUACAGCCCUCACAUCAAUUCAGAUGUUUUCUCCUGCAGCACGUUCUCUGUUUUAUGCAUUGUGGCUAACUCUAGUGCCAGAGGGCCCAGCAAGGGAUAUGGGCAAACACAGAGUGGGUGUGUGGAGAGGUCUCUUUUCCACUUUGUAAUUGAGAGCUGAAGAUAGGUGGUUCAUCUGAGCUCACAGAAGCUUGUGUCAGUGCUAGGUCUGAACUGGGGGUCCGGCACCAGCACUGUGAGGCAGUGCCCUGGUUCUGUUGUCCUGGGCUCUGUUUACAAGUUAUCAGGUGUCUCUGUGCUGAUGCUCUUCCCUAUGUUCACCUAGGUAAGGUUGCUCUUACUUUGAGGACAUUUUGGGCAGCUCUGCGACACCAGCACCACAGUUUGAAGCAGACACAUAAGGAUGAAGAAUCUGGCCAAGUGCAAAGUGCCAUAGAAAUGCAUUUGCAUCUCCAUCACUGCAGGGUGAUGAGAGCACAGCAUGACAAUCAGUACUGCAGGACAGGAGCACUGCCUUCACCUGUAGGUGGACCAGCAAAAUGGAAGGAGGUGAAAGGAGACUGGCAGCUGCCAGCCAGGCUGUUGCGGGGCCUGGUUUUGAGAUGGGAGGCAGUGAGCCCAGGAACAAGAAUCUGC